rnacentral:misc_RNA from 1 species
AAGACUAUAGACCUGCGGAGUACCUGCGGAGGGAUCAUUACAGAGUUACUACUCCAAACCCAUUGUGAACCUUACCUAUGUUCUGUUGCCUCGGCGGCGUGGUCAGCGCCCCUCUGAAAAGAGGACGAUGCCCUCCCGCCGGCAGCACCAAACUCUUUGAAUUUUACAGCGGAUUACAGUUCUGAUUUGAAAACAAAAAAACAAGUUAAAACUUUCAACAACGGAUCUCUAGAUCGGAAG